rnacentral:rRNA from 1 species
AUUGAACGCUGGCGGCAGGCCUAACACAUGCAAGUCGAACGAGUGGCGGACGGGUGAGUAAUGUCUGGGAAACUGCCAGAUGGAGGGGGAUAACUACUGGACACGGUAGCUAAUACCGCAUACCAUCGGAUGUGCCCAGAUGGGAUUAGCUAGUAGGUGGGGUAAUGGCUCACCUAGGCGACGCUCCCUAGCUGGUCUGAGAGGAUGACCAGCCACACUGGAACUGAGACACGGUCCAGACUCCGACGGGAGGCAGAAGUGGGGAAUAUUGCACAAUGGGCGCAAGCCUGAUGCAGCCAUGCCGCGUGUGUGAAGAAGGCCUUCGGGUUGUAAAGUACUUUCAGCGGGGAGGCGUUACCCGCAGAAGAAGCACCGGCUAACUCCGUGCCAGCAGCCGCGGUAAUUC